ensembl:misc_RNA predicted gene, 27454
CUAGGAGAACCGAAAACAGUUCUAGACAGACCUGUGGUUUUAUAGCAGUUUUGGCAGUCAACUUCAGCUUGUGCCUGAGCAGUGGGGCCCGAGGUGGCCCGCCGGCGGGGGGAUGCCAGACCACCUCCCCUAGCUGCACACAACCCUUCUCUUAAUUGGAUCGGCUUCCUCUGUUGCGGGGGGUGGGGGGUGGGGGAGGAAGGGGUUCCUGCAGAAAGG